rnacentral:rRNA from 1 species
GUUUGAUCCUGGCUCAGAGCGAACGCUGGCGGCAGGCCUAACACAUGCAAGUCGAACGGACCCUUCGGGGUUAGUGGCGGACGGGUGAGUAACACGUGGGAACGUGCCUUUAGGUUCGGAAUAACUCAGGGAAACUUGAGCUAAUACCGGAUACGUCCGAGAGGAGAAAGGUUUACUGCCGAAGGAUCGGCCCGCGUCUGAUUAGCUAGUUGGUGGGGUAACGGCCUACCAAGGCUUCGACGCCUAGCCGGACUGAGAGGUCGGCCGGCCACAUCGGGACUGAGACACUGCCCGGACUCCUACGGGGGGCUGCAGUAAUGAAUCUUCCGCAAUGCACGAAAGUGUGACGGAGCGACGCCGAGUGAAGGAUGAAGUCCCUCGGGAUGUAAACUUCUAAAACCUGUUAGAAAGUUCUGAUCGACAGGCUAUAAGUGGCGACUAACUCUGUGCCAGCAGUCGCGGUAAUACAGAGGCCACGAGCGUUAGGCGGAAUCACUGGGCUUAAAGCGCGCGUAGGCGGGCGUCUAAGUGUCUUGUGAAAUCCCACGGCUCAACCGUGGAACUGCUUGGUAUACUGCCUGUCUUGAGGCACUCAGGGGCGAGCGGAACAGAUGGUGGAGCGGUGAAAUGCGUAGAUAUCAUCUGGAACGCCAAUGGUGAAGACAGCUCGCUGGGGGUGUACUGACACUGAGACACGAAAGCCAGGGGAGCAAACGGGAUUAGAUACCCCGGUAGUCCUGGCCCUAAACGAUGUCCACUAGAUGGUGGCGGCUCUGACGCCGUCAUGGUCGAAGCAAAAGUGAUAAGUGGACCGCCUGGGAAGUACGGUCGCAAGGCUAAAACUCAAAGGAAUUGACGG